AUGGCAGCCCAUGUGGAUCCCCUUGUGGUUGGGAGGGUGAUCGGUGACGUGGUGGACAUGUUCGUGCCCACCAUGCCGGUGACCGUGCGCUUCGGGACGAAGGACCUGACGAACGGCUGCGAGAUCAAGCCGUCCAUCGCCGACGCGGCGCCCUCGAUCCAGAUAGCCGGCCGGGCCGGCGAUCUCUUCACCCUGGUUAUGACUGAUCCGGACGCACCGAGCCCCAGCGAGCCAACCAUGAAGGAGUGGCUUCACUGGCUGGUGGUUAACAUACCUGGUGGAUCAGAUCCUUCUCAAGGGGAGGAGGUGGUGCCCUACAUGGGUCCGAAGCCGCCGUUGGGCAUCCACCGCUACGUGCUGGUGCUGUUCCAGCAGAAGGCGCGUGUGCUGGCGCCGGCUCCCGGCGGCGACACAGCAGCGUCGGCCAUGCGCGCGCGGUUCAGCACCCGUGCCUUCGCAGAGCGCCAUGACCUGGGGCUCCCCGUCGCCGCCAUGUACUUCAACGCGCAGAAGGAGCCGGCCAACCGCCGCCGCCGCUACUAG
rnacentral:rRNA from 1 species